AAAUGAAUAGACGGGCACCCGCACAAGCGGUGGAGCAUGCUGUUUAAUUCGACAAUACGCGAAGAACCUUACCUAGGUUUGACAUCCCCUGCAAAGCUAUGGAAACAUAGUGGAGGUUAUCAGGGUGACAGAUGGUGCAUGGUUGUCGUCAGCUCGUGUCGUGAGAUGUUUGGUUAAGUCCAAUAACGAGCGCAACCCUCAUUUUCAGUUACUAACAUUUAGUUGAGGACUCUGAAGAUACAGCCAGUGUAAACUGGAGGAAGGUGGGGAUGACGUCAAAUCAUCAUGCCUCUUACAUCUAGGGCAACAGGCGUGCUACAAUGGCCAGUACAACGAGUCGCAACACGGUGACGUGAAGCUAAUCUCUAAAAGCUGGUCUCAGUCCGGAUUGUAGUCUGCAACUCGACUACAUGAAGUUGGAAUCGCUAGUAAUCCCGGAUCAGAAUGCCGGGGUGAAUACGUUCUCGGGUGUUGUACACACCGCCCGU
rnacentral:rRNA from 1 species